rnacentral:rRNA from 1 species
AUUGAACGCUGGCGGCAGGCCUAACACAUGCAAGUCGAACGGCGCGGCGGACGGGUGAGUAAUGCCUAGGAAUCUGCCUGGUAGUGGUGGAUAACGUCAGGAACCGGGCGCUAAUACCGCAUACUAUCAGAUGAGCCUAGGUCGGAUUAGCGAGUUGGUGGGGUAAAGGCCUACCAAGGCGACGAUCCGUAACUGGUUUGAGAGGAUGAUCAGUCACACGGGAAUCGAGACAAGGGCCAGACGCCUACGGGAGGCAGCAGUGGGGAAUAUUGGACAAUGGGCGAAAGCCUGAUCCAGCCAUGCCGCGUGUGUGAAGAAGGUCUUCGGAUUGUAAAGCACUUUAAGUUGGGAGGCGUUACCAACAGAAGAAGCACCGGCUAACUUCGUGCCAGCAGCCGCGGUAAUAC